rnacentral:lncRNA from 1 species
AUGUAGGCCAAUUUGGGAUUCUUGUUCUUUUUUUGCUAGUUUGAUUUUGGAUGCUUGCUAUUUAGUAUUUUUGUUUUUGGUUGGGAUUUCACGGGUCUAGAAUGUUUAGGGGUUGAGAUUUGAUGGUUAUGGUGGUGGUGUCUUGGCAAAGGAGUGACAGUGAGUGAUGAUGGUAUGGUGAUUAAAUGAUAGUGGGCUUGUGAAGGUUGCUACUGUUGAGGGUUGUGGUGAGGGAGUUGAGAGGGAUGAAGAAAAAUGGUGAAAAUCCCCAUUUUUCUCUUUUUGUUUUUGCUAUUUAAUGGUGGCGUGUGAGAGGGAUGAUGGGA